GACGAACGCUGGCGGCGUGCUUAACACAUGCAAGUCGAACGGAAAGGCCCUGCUUCUGUGGGGUGCUUGAGUGGCGAACGGGUGAGUAACACGUGAGUAACCUGCCCUUGACUUUUGGCUCACUUCAGGAAACUGGGGCUCAUACCGGAUCGGCGCUCCUGCUGCAUGGUGGGGGUUGGAAAGUUUCGGCGGUUGGGGAUGGACUCGCGGCUUAUCAGCUUGUUGGUGGGGUAGUGGCUUACCAAGGCUUUGACGGGUAGCCGGCCUGAGAGGGUGACCGGCCUCAGUGGGACUGAGAUACGGCCCAGACUCCUACGGGAGGCAGCAGUGGGGAAUAUUGCACAAUGGGCGGAAGCCUGAUGCAGCAACGCCGCGUGCGGGAUGACGGCCUUCGGGUUGUAAACCGCUUUCGCCUGUGACGAAGCGAGAGUGACGGUAAUGGGUAAAGAAGCACCGGCUAACUACGUG
rnacentral:rRNA from 1 species